CCUACAAAAAAAGUCUUCCUGCUCUCGCCCCCAUUCUUGAUGUGCAGGCCAGGUCUAAACUGGAAAGCAGUCACUGAAUCAGGUUCUCGGUAUUUUUCACUCCUGGUGCUGCUGUUCGUUGUUUGGUGUCAUCUGGAUUUUUGUGUCUGUGAGGCCAGGGGCAGGGCACACUCUCAGGGCCACGGGUAGGUGUCCCUCUCAGCUGUGCCUUCAUGGGGUGGGGAAGGGGACAAGUCUCCCCUGGGGCCACAGUUAGCCCUGACAUGGCCUUGUUUGUUAGUGCCACGAGCUGCUGUGACCUUACUUCUCUCCAACAAACGCCUACCUCAACUGAACCUGUGGACGGGGUUUUGUACUUUUAGAUGCCCUAGGAAGAAGAUUUUGAGAAGGCAGGCCUUAGCAGUGCACUGUUUCAGCUACGUCUGCAUAGGUGUCUUGGGCCCUUGAGUGCGGCCAUCCCUGUGGUCCCCUCCUGUUCUUGUUUGCUUGAGGGUGGGGGGCGUCUGCUCAGCUGUAUUCUCUGCUCAAGUCUCUGUGCUGAAUGGAAAUCCAGGACUUCCAUGCUUCCUCUGGGCUGGGGCUGCCUGGAGGUUUCUAGGUCGGGAGCGCUAGUGCAGUGGGGACUUUGGAGAUGUGCCAUGCAAGGCAGUUGGCUUAGGGCUGAGUAACAGGACUUGUGAAGGAUGUGACGCCUGUCCCAUGUGCAGGGGCUCUGCUCCGUUUGGUUUCCACCAGUUAGGCUUAGGGUUUUCCUUCAGCAAAUAUAGCUCAGAAUUCACUGAGCAGCUAAUUCCUCUGCAAAGCUGGAACCUGGGCACAGACUGUGGCGGAGGCCCAGGGAUGCUGACUGCGUGUAGUCUACUUUUCUGGACGGGGUUGUGUGUUCCUCUAAGAAGGAAGUUAUAGCCCCUGAUGGGUCCUGGAAAUUCUAGCUGAGGACUGAGAGGGGCAUCUGGUUUCCUAAAAUAGGCUUUGCCAUGGCAGAUCCCAGGCCCUGGCUUGUCUUUAGAAAUGGACCUGAUCUAAUAAGUUAGGUUGGGCUUGGGGUCCAGACCUUCAGAACCUUCCCAAAGCCUCUACCCUCUUGUCUGGACAUAUUGCCAAGACAGUAUAAUUGCCAGGACAUAUUGGUAAGUGCACGCCCCAGGGCAGUCAGCCCUGGACACAGGCCACAUGUCAGAGGUUGUGGGAGCCCUCACAGAGCCCUUGCUUACCACCUGGUAGUGGACUUGCCCCUGCCAAGAGACUCUGGUCUGCUUGUCAGUGGGGACACACCCUGACCAGAGUCUGUGAUCUGCACCAGCACCACCCACUGAGCCAUGACUGAGUUCCCGUCAUGGCUCAGCAGUAUGGAACCCAACCUGUAUCCAUGAUGAUGUGGAUUUGAUCCCUGGCUCCACUCAUGGGUUAAGGAUCCGGCAUUGCUGUGAGCUGUGGUGUAGGUCACAGAUGCCGCUCGGAUCCAGUGUUGCUGUGGCAGUAGUGUAGGCUGGCAGCUACAGCUCUGAUUUGACGCCUAGCCUGGGAACCUCCAUGUGCCGCAGGUACAGCCCUAAAAAGACAAAAAAAAAAAAAAAAGUGUAAAAUCUGAGUUUUGAUGACUGCAUGAUAUUCUGUGGUGAUAUUCUGCACCAUGACAUGGGUAUCUGACCUCCUGGCUGGAAAAGUUUAUUGCUCCUAAUUUUUCACUAUUUUGAAUGAUCCUGGGGUGGGCCAUCUUAUGAAUCUUAUGUGCUUUUCUUUUUUUUUUUUUUUUGCCUUAGAAUAGGUUUGUAAUUGUGGAAUUACUGGCCUGAAGAAUAAAACCCUUUUGAAGCCCGUGGUACACUCUGUUUCAGGAGGCUUCUUUCCAUGUUAGUCCCUCCUUGGAGAGGAGCGCCUGGUCCCUGUAGCCCCACCUGCAUCAGGACCACUAUUGACAUAUCGACCGUGCCACCUCCGAGCAACUCUGUGCUUCACACUUCAGGGGCUGGCACGUUGAGAGGAGGUUCUGACUGUCCCCCUCCCCUCUGGGAUCAAAAGGGGCCACUUCUUCUCCCCCCACCCCUUCCCCAUGUGGAAGCACCAGGGCCAGGGGUAGAACCUGCACCACAGCAGCCACCCAGGCUGCUGCAAUGACAACACCAGAUCUUUAACCCACUACACCAUGGGGGAACUCCCCCCUUCUUUUUUUUUUUUUUGCUUUUUAGGGCUGCAGGUGCGGCAUAUGGAAGUUCCCAGGCUAGGGGUUGAAUUGGAGCUACAGCGGCCGGCCUACCCCACAGCCACACCAAUGCCAGAACUGAACCCCAUCUUCAACCUGCACCACAGCUUGAGGCAACGCCAGAGCCUUAACUCACUGAGUGGGGCUGGGGAUCGAAUCUGCAUCCUCAUGGAUACUAGUCGGGUUCAUUUCCACUGAGCCACAACGGGAACUGCCCACUUCCUUUUUUUUGAGGCUCCUCCCCUAGCUUAAAAAAAUGUCAAAACAGGGUUACAGAAGUUGUGGUUUACGUAAAAUCAACAUUCUUGACAACACGAUAGGGAAAAAAAAAAAAAAAA
rnacentral:lncRNA from 1 species